ACUCCUACGGGAGGCAGCAGUGGGGAAUAUUGCACAAUGGGCGCAAGCCUGAUGCAGCCAUGCCGCGUGUAUGAAGAAGGCCUUCGGGUUGUAAAGUACUUUCAGCAGUGAGGAAGGUGGGUAUGUUAAUAGCAUAUUCAUUUGACGUUAGCUGCAGAAGAAGCACCGGCUAACUCCGUGCCAGCAGCCGCGGUAAUACGGAGGGUGCGAGCGUUAAUCGGAAUUACUGGGCGUAAAGCGCAUGCAGGUGGUUUGUUAAGUCAGAUGUGAAAGCCCGGGGCUCAACCUCGGAAUUGCAUUUGAAACUGGCAAACUAGAGUACUGUAGAGGGGGGUAGAAUUUCAGGUGUAGCGGUGAAAUGCGUAGAGAUCUGAAGGAAUACCGGUGGCGAAGGCGGCCCCCUGGACAGAUACUGACACUCAGAUGCGAAAGCGUGGGGAGCAAACAGGAUUAGAUACCCCGGUAGGCUCUGC
rnacentral:rRNA from 1 species